rnacentral:misc_RNA from 1 species
UUUGCCCAUCCUACAAGGUUGUUGUCAUCACCAAACUCCAACGGGUCUAUUGGCUUCUUGCCUGAGAGGAGCUCCAACAGUAUGACACCAUAACUGUAGACAUCUCCUUUGGCUGUGCACCUGAAGCUCUGGUAAUACUCAGGAGGCACAUAACCUGGAGUUCCGGCAAGUGUGCUUACGCUAAGAUGUGUGUCAAGAGCAUUCACCAAUCUUGCCAUGCCAAAAUCAGAAACCCUGGC